rnacentral:rRNA from 1 species
AGCGAACGCUGGCGGCAGGCUUAACACAUGCAAGUCGAGCGGGCGUAGCAAUACGUCAGCGGCAGACGGGUGAGUAACGCGUGGGAACGUACCUUUUGGUUCGGAACAACUGAGGGAAACUUCAGCUAAUACCGGAUAAGCCCUUACGGGGAAAGAUUUAUCGCCGAAAGAUCGGCCCGCGUCUGAUUAGCUAGUUGGUGAGGUAACGGCUCACCAAGGCGACGAUCAGUAGCUGGUCUGAGAGGAUGAUCAGCCACAUUGGGACUGAGACACGGCCCAAACUCCUACGGGAGGCAGCAGUGGGGAAUAUUGGACAAUGGGCGAAAGCCUGAUCCAGCCAUGCCGCGUGAGUGAUGAAGGCCCUAGGGUUGUAAAGCUCUUUUGUGCGGGAAGAUAAUGACGGUACCGCAAGAAUAAGCCCCGGCUAACUUCGUGCCAGCAGCCGCGGUAAU